rnacentral:lncRNA from 1 species
UCCAAGGUCACUCAUUUCUUCUCCAAUCUAACCUUGGUGAAGAUACUUAGAGGUUCUCAAUUUUGGGAACUUAGAGAAACCUUUUCAUCCAUCCAAAUCCAUAGAUUUUAGAUGCAAGGAAUGAAGGCCCUCUCUUUGGGUGAUUAGCCUUUGCUUAUGCAAAGAGGAAUCUACAAAGGUAUAUUUUUCAACUCACUUAGAUUUGAGUUGAGUCUUGGUUCACCAAUCUACUAGGCUUUGAAUUUCAUGGGUAAUGUUUUGUUUUUGAGUGCAUGCAAGCAUGAUUCCGCCUUUAAUUGUUAAUUGCAUGCUAUAUGAUGUUGCUCAAAUGAACAUGUUUUCACAAAUCUUCCUUCAAGUGGUAUCAGAGCCUAGGUCUAGUAGUUGGUGAAUCCUUUUGGGUUUUGUAGUUCAUAGUUUUGAUUUAAAAGUUGUAAUAUGUUACAAGCUUUAUUCUUGUUUCUUUGAAUGUAAAUUUUGUUAGAAAAUUUGCCAUCUCAAAUGUUGUAGAUGUAGUUCAUAUGAGCAUGAAUAUUGGAGCUAAAAUUUGGUGCCAUGAUUUUGGGAAAAUUCGGCCAAAUACAUAGGGUGAUUUUUUGGGUUCUUGUUUGACUUGUUAAAAGUGUUUUAAAGUAACUUUUGGAACCCCUAUGUACCCUAGUUUGGUUAUAUGUUAUUUCCCUAAAGUUUAAAUGGUUUUGGGAUGUUUUUGGAUGAAAAAUGUUCAUGGAAAUUUUUGAGUUUUUCAUGAAUGUUCUUCAUUGUUCUUGACAUUUUUGCCAAGAACAAAAAGUUAUGUGUUUUGAUUCAAAGUUUUGAUUUAUUUCAUAAAGUUUAUGUUUUAUGUUUUUCAAAUAUUUAAAUGUGUUAGAUAUUUGUUUAAAUGGUGAUAGAAAUAAUGGUGGGUGUGAAAGGAUUAAUUCCCUUUCACACACACCACUUGUGCACUUGCAUGCUUUAUGUCAAAACUCACAAAUCAACACACACAUCACUCACAUCUCCUCUCCAAAACUGGCCACCCCCUAGUGGGGGUACUUUUGGGGCCUUUUAUGCAAUUACAUAAAGUUUUGAUACUUUUGUGUAUUUGCACUUUGGCCCAAAAGUUUACGUUUUUACGUUUAGGUCCAAAAACGCUAAAGGACAAAUUGUUUUGCUCCUUUAAUGAAGUUUUACAUUGUUUAAAUUUUGGGUUCUAGUGUAAUUACAUGAAGUAGUGGACUUUUGUGUUCUUACAAAGUGACCCCAAAAGUUUAUGUUUUCGCAAUAUUGCCCAAAAAGUUGUGGUUAUUGUAUGAUGGCCCAAAUUAGGUUGAGAACAAAAUUGUUUUGUCUCUUUAAAUGAGAAUUGGAUUUUCAUUUCAUUUAGCUCCACUUAAAUCAAUUUUAUGGAUACAAAAACCAAAUGAAAAUGUUGCAUUCAAUUUAAUUAGUUAAAGUGUUAAUUAAUUAAAGGAUGAUUAUGAACCUAAGCCUAAUAUAAUUGAGCUAUGUGAAAGGUCGUUUCAAAUUUGUUUGAACCAUGGGAAUGUGUAGAUUAGAUUUUGGUUGUAAUUUGAUUUGAUCAAAUGUUGUAAAAGGGCUUAAGCUCUUCUUUACUUUAAAGUAAUUUGUUUUAUGCCAAUGUUGUAAUGAGCAUAAGCUCACCUUUACUUUGAAGUACUUCUUUCUUGCUUUAUUUGAUAUGCAUGAAAAUGAAGUUGUUGGGUCCAAUGCCCUUAAGACAAAACGCCUUAAUGUGAUUAAACGCGUAACUAAAAUCAAUCACCAUCCCUAGACCGAGAUUCAACACAAGGCUCGUGUUGGAUCUAAUUAAAAGGUUCAUAGUCAUCCUAAGGCCCUAAGGCAACUAUAUAGUCCAUCAAAUGAAUGCAAAGGUUAUGUU